UGAGGAAAUCAUGAUAUUCAGAUUAUGGUAUAAGCUGGAGACAGCAUUUUCCUUGCCAAAGCUUAUUAUGCUGAUGCUAUUGGUCCUUGCUAUGGAAUUUCCAAUUAUUGUGAUGUUUUUUGGAUAUGUUGCUCG